UACGUAGGGUGCGAGCGUUGUCCGGAAUUACUGGGCGUAAAGAGCUCGUAGGUGGUUUGUCGCGUUGUUCGUGAAAACUCACAGCUUAACUGUGGGCGUGCGGGCGAUACGGGCAGACUUGAGUACUGCAGGGGAGACUGGAAUUCCUGGUGUAUCGGUGGAAUGCGCAGAUAUCAGGAGGAACACCGGUGGCGAAGGCGGGUCUCUGGGCAGUAACUGACGCUGAGGAGCGAAAGCGUGGGGAGCGAACAGG
rnacentral:rRNA from 1 species